UUGCUUCAGCAGCACAUUUACUAAAGCUGGAGUGAUGCAGAGAAGAUUAGCAUGGCCUCUGCACAAGAAUGAUACAAAAAUCUGAAUCACUCUGCAUAUUCAA
ensembl:snRNA U6 U6 spliceosomal RNA